rnacentral:rRNA from 1 species
GACGAACGCUGGCGGCGUGCUUAACACAUGCAAGUCGAACGGAAAGGCCCUGCUUUUGUGGGGUGCUCGAGUGGCGAACGGGUGAGUAACACGUGAGUAACCUGCCCUUGACUUUGGGAUAACUUCAGGAAACUGGGGCUAAUACCGGAUAGGAGCUCCUGCUGCAUGGUGGGGGUUGGAAAGUUUCGGCGGUUGGGGAUGGACUCGCGGCUUAUCAGCUUGUCGGUGGGGUAGUGGCUUACCAAGGCUUUGACGGGUAGCCGGCCUGAGAGGGUGACCGGCCACAUUGGGACUGAGAUACGGCCCAGACUCCUACGGGAGGCAGCAGUGGGGAAUAUUGCACAAUGGGCGGAAGCCUGAUGCAGCAACGCCGCGUGCGGGAUGACGGCCUUCGGGUUGUAAACCGCUUUCGCCUGUGACGAAGCGUGAGUGACGGUAAUGGGUAAGAAGCACCGGCUAACUACGUG